rnacentral:rRNA from 1 species
AUACGGAGGAUGCGAGCGUUAUCCGGAUUUAUUGGGUUUAAAGGGUGCGUAGGCGGACGAUUAAGUCCGCUGUGAAAUGCCCGCGCUUAACGCGGGAAGUGCAGUUGAUACUGGUUGUCUGGAGUGCCGUUGCCGUGGGGGGAAUGUGUAGUGUAGCGGUGAAAUGCAUAGAUAUUACACAGAACGCCGAUUGUGAAGACACCUCACGAAGCGGUAACUGACGCUGAGGCACGAAAGCGUGGGGAUCGAACAGGAUUAGAUACCCUGGUAGUCCACGCAGUAAACGAUGAUGACUAACCGCCGGCGAGAGACUGUCGGUGGCCAAGCGAAAGCGAUAAGUACUCCACCUGGGGAGUACGCCGGCAACGGUGAAACUCAAAUGAAUUGGCGGGG